rnacentral:rRNA from 1 species
UACGGGGGGAGCAAGCGUUGUUCGGAUUUACUGGGCGUAAAGUGUGCGCAGGCGGCGUUGCAAGUCGAGUGUGAAAUCUCCGAGCUUAACUUGGGAAUUGCGCUCGAAACUACGAUGCUCGAGUGUGGCAGAGGAAGGUGGAAUUCCACGUGUAGCGGUGAAAUGCGUAGAGAUGUGGGGGAACACCGAUGGCGAAGGCAGCCCCCUGGGUCAAGAUUGACGCUCAUGCACGAAAGCGUGGGGAGCAAACAGG